UACGUAGGUGGCAAGCGUUGUUCGGAAUUAUUGGGCGUAAAGGGCGCGUAGGCGGUCUUGUAAGUCAGCUGUGAAAGCCCGGGGCUCAACCCCGGAGGGUCGGCUGAUACUGCAGGACUGGAGUACGGAAGAGGUAGCUGGAAUUCCCGGUGUAGCGGUGAAAUGCGCAGAUAUCAGGAGGAACACCGGUGGCGAAGGCGGGUCGCUGGGCCGUAACUGACGCUGAGGAGCGAAAGCGUGGGGAGCGAACAGG
rnacentral:rRNA from 1 species